rnacentral:rRNA from 1 species
UACGUAGGUCCCGAGCGUUGUCCGGAUUUAUUGGGCGUAAAGCGAGCACAGGUGGUUUAUUAAGUCUGGUGUAAAAGGCAGUGGCUCAACCAUUGUAUGCAUUGGAAACUGGUAGACUUGAGUGCAGGAGAGGAGAGUGAAUUCCAUGUGUAGCGGUGAAAUGCGUAGAUAUAUGGAGGAACACCGGUGGCGAAAGCGGCUCUCUGGCCUGUAACUGACACUGAGGCUCGAAAGCGUGGGGAGCAAACAGG